CACAGCUCCAAGCAAAGGCUACCUGCUGCCAGAAUGAUAAAGGGGACAAAGAAUAGAAGAAGGGACACUACUCAGUAUUUUGUCAUGUAAAAGCGGUGAAAGAAGGGAAAAAUCAGAGAAACAGAAAAAACAGAUGAACAUAAGGAAAUGAAGUGGUCUGGUUCCAGAGAAGGCACUGAGACUGGCCUGGUUUAACCUGCUGACCGGGGCUGUGGAUACGAUACACCACCUCGUUGCCAUCUUCCAGAGGUCGUGACCCUCUGCCCUGGAGACUGGCUGAGAAUACCUACGUAUAACCAGAUACAACAGAAGACGGUUCAGUUGCAGAGCAGCCACCAGAUUAAUGGCUGCUUUAUAUCAGAGCCAUACUGCCACCUGCUGUUUAAAAAAAGAAAAGGAGAUUUUGACAUUUUAACAAUUGCUCAUGAUUUUUCAAUGAAGUCAGUGUCCCAGCACCUACUUUCCCAUUGAGAGCAGUAGCUGCAUCACUGGUGCGAAACCAAUGUUCAUUUCUAAACUCGGUCAGCUGCAUCCUGUUGAGGUUGCCGCAGUCCGCAGUUAAAACUGCUGGUACUGGCAGCAGAGUAUUUGGGAGCUGGAAGAAGUCUGCAUUACGGCCCCUGAACUUGUAUCCAUUAAUUUCUGUGGGGUACCACUGGAAGGCAGAGAUGUUCAUAUACGGACAAGUUUCCAGGACUGUAACCUUUCUGGAGAAAAAUUUUACAAAGAAGAAAUUGUAAAUCCAAGCACGAUUUAACAUUAAUUUGUGAGGUAAUAUUCAUCUGUAUUACAAUAAGGUGUACCAUGCAACUCUUCACUCAUUUAGAACAUUUAGGACACUCACAUCUCACACUGACUAUGUUUAAGGAGGGAGAAUGCAAAUCGCUCCGCCACCUCAGCAAGGUGGCUGACACCUCGAGUGUCGACUCGACUGGGAUUGGCCAAGGCACACAACAGGUUAUAGGUCAAAUUCCGGCUGUUGUUCUGUAAAGGAGCUCUUUCUGCCUCUGCAAGCACCUGGCUCAGAAGACAGAAAGGAUGAGAAAGACUGAGGAGCUCUGAGUAAACUUUAGUGCUGUUAUUCACACAUCCAAAGCACUCACCUGAGUUACUUUCUUUAGUUUGACCUUCAGGGUCAUGCGCAUUGUGUGUGCUCAGAAUGCAUUUUUCUCUGUAGUCCCUACUUCUUAUUUACUCUUUCUAAACAUGUCCCUGUAUAUUCUGUUUAUUCUUUUGUGCAGCUGGUUAAGAAGAUGCAAUAAAUAGAUUCUAAUUUCAA
ensembl:lncRNA